AUACAAGCUAUGAUCAGGAGGAGUAAAGAAACUGCUUCUAGUAGAGAGGAAGGACCUUGGCUGAAAGUCUUUCUAGAAAGCAAGUACUUGAAAGUCGCCUGUAAGCUUUUCUGUUGAACCAUUUAGUAAACAGAAACGGUUUCGAGCCGUUAGUCGAUUUGAGUUGCACAGGCUAAGUCUGUGAACAAAGGUGGCACCGCGAAUAAUCCCUUCGUCCUUUGA
rnacentral:ncRNA from 1 species